CAGAAAGGAAACAUGUUGCAGUGUGUCUACAAGCAUUUGGAUGGAGUGAAACCACAUCAUCAGUGGGACGAAGCUGUACUUCCCUCGUCCUGCUCCAUAAAACCCCUGAUGAUAAGCUGAUGCCGGUUGCUAUUCAGGAAUCCCUCAAAGGUCAAGUUUGUCACCAUCUUCACUUGCUCAGGCCAGCACUCUGCUGUCAACUCUGGACAGGGGAGGCCACGAUGCUGCAGACGUUCCCUGACGUCAACACAACAGUUCAGGGGAUGUCCACCAUGUGGCUACUCAAGAAGCAGUCAUCUGACUUCAACGCUCCAUCUCCAUCAGAGCCAGAGUGACCAUUCCUCAGCAAAGUCUUCCUACUACCAGGUGAUGUAGACCGUCUGUGUUUUUAUCUAACCUGGAGGUUUCCCUUCAUCCGCUUUUGGAAGUUUUGGAACCCAUUCAAAGAAGAGUAACUUGUGUGUUGUUACCAGAUCACAGGAAACCUUAUUAUCAAUACACGGGCCUGGAUUGCUAAAGCUUACACUCAAUCAACUACUGCAAUCAAGGUCAGCAAUGCAGCAUCUCAGAUCUUGUGUGCAGUAUAGCUUAUGCACAAACCUGUUAACCUUUUGCAGUGGUGUCUAGAAGGUAACCCCCAAGUUGUGAAAACGUGUGAAAACUCUCGUGAGACUCGCUGCCUGACGACCUAUCCUAACCAUUCGAGGUUAAUGUCUAACCAUAACCAUCUCGCAAGUGUUUCGCAACACUCUUUCAAAUGAAAUCUACCGGGAGCUAUUAAUACAGUGUGCAGAUCCUUUGUCUGACUUUAUCAUUGUUCAGUGCAAAAAGUAUUUUUUUCAGACAGUAGUGACGUAUUAAUCUAUGAGAUAACAGAUGGAUUAAUCUGUUGAGCAUUUCAAAUAGUUGCAGUUUAGAAGAGCUAAACUAUUUGGCUAUCCAACAAAUAUAGGUUUAAAGGUAACCUUUGCGAGUCUUUGUUUGCCUUCUUAUGCAUGAUGGAUGACAUCACUACUGUUUAGCUCUGUGAACAUUCCCUUACAUUUAACAUCAUUAUUAAUCUCCUCUUUUGACAAUCAUUAAUGUCCCAUUAGUGCUGAUAGAUUUAUCGUUUCCAUGGAACAAGUGUAACCGAGUCUGAGAAGGCCGGAGGCUUCACACUUUAUUCUUCAGAAACUGAAAAGGUGUUUCAUAUUUCCUUCUCUUAUAGUGUGCUCUGCCACUUUCUGUGAGUAUGUGUGAAUGUUUGUGAGAUAAAGAGAGACCCUUCAAGAGACAAUUGGGAAACCACACAGAGGAAAACACACACAAACAAAGAGAUACAGGCAAAUACACACAUUUGUGUUUGCUAUUGCUUCUGCCCUCUGGAUUUCUUUUUGCUAUGGUGGUUUAUCUUAAUAAUGGGACUGUUUGCUUGCCCUUUUUGUCCCAAAUAAACUGCCCGAGGGAAAAUGAACAUUUUUUUUUACGUAUUUCAUCACAGGUCAGUGACGGGACUUUGGAGAAUCAUCUGUUUGGAGACAGAUCUAAUGUCAAAAGUGCAGCCCUUUUCUGUCUUUACUGUGCGUAUAUGAGAGAGAUAUGUUCCUGGCCUCACCCUCCUAGACAGAGAGGGGAAGUCUCUGUUUUAUGCAGAUGACUUUGUUCUACUGUCUCUUACUGAACAAGAGCGACAGCAACAGCUGGCCAUAGUAGAAAAGUACUGUCAGAACUAGUCCUGGCAGUAAAUAUGAAGAAAACAAAUGUCAUGAUUUUUCAAAAACGCCCCAGAUGUCAGGAGAAUAAAUACCAGUUAACAAUAAAUAUAUCAUGGAACAUAGUAUGAGUUAUACAUACCUUGGUUUAACCAUAGCAGCAUCAGAGAGUUUAAACAUGGCAGUAAAUGCACUAAAAGAAAAAGCUGGAAGAGGUCUAAAUUUAUUUAUUUUGUUUACGAAAUUUUUGUUGCCCAUUAAAUUAUGACUUUUUAAAGGCGUAUUACUUUAAAUGACAAUCUAUACUAUGCCUUUUUUAUGAAAUAUUAAUGGCAUACUAUACCAUGACUUUUUAAUGUAAUUUUAAUGGCAUACUGUACUAUGGCUUUUUUAAGACAUUUUUUGACAUACUAUACUAAGACUUUUUAUUAUAGCAUACUAUAGUGUUACUUUUUAAAUUACAUUUUUUGACAUUAUAUACUAUUACUUUUUUAUAGCAUACUAUAAUAUGA